rnacentral:rRNA from 1 species
UACGUAGGGGGCAAGCGUUGUCCGGAUUUAUUGGGCGUAAAGAGCGUGUAGGCGGCCAGACAGGUCAGCUGUGAAAACUCGAGGCUCAACCUCGAGACGUCGGUUGAAACCGUCUGGCUAGAGUCCGGGAGAGGGAUGCGGAAUUCCAGGUGUAGCGGUGAAAUGCGUAGAUAUUGGGAGGAACACCAGUGGCGAAGGCGGCUCACUGGACCGGUUCUGACGCUGAGGCGCGAAAGCGUGGGGAGCAAACGGG